CAGGAUAAUCUAGUGUUUGUGGUGGGGAAAUGGAUGGACUGAUGGUGGUGAGUGGAUGGAGACAUAACACAUGUGGUGGCCACAGCACUGGCCGUGGAGCCCAUUAAGUUUGUGUACAGAGGAAGGAAUUCACAAGCUCCAGUCUGGAUCCAGAACACUUAAGAAGAGAUGAUGCCAACCCCACAGAGGACUUCAGAUGAUGCCAACCCUGAAACAACAUACAGCACUACCGAAUUCUGCUACUAAUUUAUAGUGUUCUUUGUCUGUUUGAUUACGUCAUUAAUUGAUCUUUACCACACAUCUCUACCAUAUGUACAUCAAGCUACUAUUACAUAUAUUGUAAAAAUGUCAAUUUGGUGUAAAGUUGCUUUGCAACGAUAUGUAUCAUGAAAAGCGCUAUACAAAUACAUUUGAAUUGAAUUGAAUUGAAAGGACUGUUACUUUCUUGUCAGCUAAGUUCCAUUACCAGUUUUUUGUAUUGUUAUUCCUUACCUGCACUUGCCGUCUUCAUCUUCUGCUACUCAGCCAAAUAAAGCCCGCUAUUAUUACUA